GGAUUUUCAAAGAGAAAACGCGUGUUUUUCGCAUAAAUGGGGGAUUCAUGAAGAGAAAACGGGUGAUUUUCAGGUUAAAUGGGAAAUUUGCGAACAGGAAACGUGAUUUUCGCUUAAAUGGGGGAUUUGCGAAGAGAAAACACGUGAUUUUUGCUUAAAUUGGGGAUUUGCAAAGAGAAAAUGCGUGAUUUUCGCGUUAAAUGGGGAAUUCUCGAAGAGAAAACGCGUGAUUUUCGCUUAAAUGGGGGAUUCACGAAGAGAAAACACGUGAUUUUCGGGUUAAAUGGGGGAUUUGUGAAAAGAAAACGCGUGAUUUUCGCUUAAAUGGGGGAUUUGCGAAGAGAAAACGCAUGAUUUUCUGGUUAAAUGGAGGUUU
ensembl:lncRNA